rnacentral:rRNA from 1 species
GAUGAACGCUGGCGGCGUGCCUAACACAUGCAAGUCGAGCGAGAAGCUUCUGACGGAUCCUUCGGGUGACGGAUGAAGUGGAAAGCGGCGGACGGGUGAGUAACGCGUGGGUAACCUGCCCUGUACAGAGGAAUAGCCAUUGGAAACGAUGAUUAAUGCCUCAUAAGACUACAGUACCGCAUGGUACAGUAGUAAAAACUCCGGUGGUACAGGAUGGACCCGCGUUAGAUUAGCUAGUUGGUGAGGUAAUGGCUCACCAAGGCGACGAUCUAUAGCCGACCUGAGAGGGUGAUCGGCCACACUGGAACUGAGACACGGUCCAGACUCCUACGGGAGGCAGCAGUGGGGAAUAUUGCACAAUGGGGGAAACCCUGAUGCAGCAACGCCGCGUGAGUGAUGAAGGCUUUUCGAGUCGUAAAACUCUUUUCUUGAGGAAGAAUUUUGACGGUACUCAAGGAAUAAGCCCCGG